rnacentral:lncRNA from 1 species
ACCCUGCUUUCAGAUCACAGUUCCAUGAGAUGUGUGCUAAAGUAGGAGUAGACCCCUUGGCAUCGAAUAAGGGAUUUUGGGCAGAGCUAUUAGGAAUUGGUGACUUCUAUUAUGAACUUGGUUGGUUUCAAUCUACUUGAUGGUGCAACUCUUGAAAUUUAUUUUCAAAAAAGUCUCUGACCUCUGAUCUGCCACUUCUUUAAAAUAUAUGUUAUUUUGUUGAUUAUUCUGAGACUAGUUUGAAUGCAUGUGUUACUUUUUCAUGCUAUAAUUAAUGCAUGUUGUCAGUGUGCCUAUUUUAAACAACAUGCAUGUUGUCAGUAUGAUUCUUGCACAGUGCAGUUCAAAUGAAAUUUUUUAUUGGGGAGAAGUGUGCAGAAUAUUCUGCUAUUGUGUUCUCCGGGAGAUGUUGCAAGGGCACAAUUGACCCAAAUUCUGAUCUUAGAUUAGAAUUUGGAACAUAAAUUAUGAAUCAAUUUGUUGCGUAGGUUAAGAUUCCUCUGUGCAUUUAUCUUCUCUAUUUUCUAUUAUUAAUGAAUCUUUAUUGCAUAUUGAAACUGGAUGAGAGCUUUUUGUAGCCCCUGAUAUGAAUGGAUAAAAUGUGUGGGUACAUACAUGCAAAUAUGCAUACCUACACACUCACAGACUCCACAUCAUAUAUUUGGAUAAAUACUUACCUUAUCUUUUUGAUAAGUACCUAUAUAAAAAAAAAAAAAAUUGGAUAAGUACUUUACUUUGCAUACCACCUCAACCCCUUCCCCAAGGAAAAAGAAAAAAAAAUGGCAGAACUUUAAGCUCCUUCAAUUAUCUUACUGAAACACCAUCACCUGUGUGUGCUGCAACCUCUGAAGAACUGCUGAUUUAGUAUUCAUGCUUCCUACAGUUUCAAAUAAUAAUGUCCUUUUUUUUUAGAUAAAACUUUCUUAUUUAUAUUGAAUUGAAGAUAUACAUAAAAAAAAGAAUAUUGAAUUAAAGAUUCUUAGGGAAUAUUGAUUCUAUUUUCUGUAAAUAUUUAUCAACCCAAUUUCAGAGAUGAAACUUACUUUUGUUUGUGAGUAUACUUGGCUAGACAGGUGUGCAAAUUGUUGACAUAUGCUUAGCGACAAGAGUUCACAAUGGAGGUUUGAUCGACUUGCAGGAACUGUGCAAUUUGCUUUGCCAGAGACGUAAAAGUGCUCAUGGAGCUGUAUCUGAAGAUGACUGCUUGCGUGCCAUAAGUAAGCUGAAGGUAUUGUAGUUGAUUCUUUGUCCUAAUGUUUCACAGCAUACUAUGUUUAUGGAGCAAGUGCUCUGAAAGGGCUUGCAUUCUUGGUAUAUGCUUAAGAUCUGCAUGGGUAGUGGUAGGGUUUUGGCAUCUGAUGUGAGGAUGUGUUGCUUAAUUCAAAGUUCUUAAAACUAAGAAGUCUUGAGGAAAUCAAUUAAAGGAUGAGAGACAUAGUCUAUGACCCUGCACCUUUCCCAUAUUCAUGCAAAUAUAGUUUAAGAGUGUGUUUAGUGUGCCAGUAUCCAAAUUAAGAGUUGGAAAUCAUAUUUCUGAAAAUAAAAUCCCAAAAUGCAUUGAAUCUGAGAUUUUUUUUCCUAACAUUUAGUUAAAGUUGAAUUAGAAAUUUCACUUACAUUUUAUUCCGAUCCUAGGCUUUUGAUCUUAUAAAUUCCUGAAAUUAUUGUCAAUCUACAUGAUAAUCCCACAAAUAGUAUUAACAAAAAAUGUUUUGGUCAAAAAAAGAAAAAAAAGAGAAUGGUAAACAAAACUUUUAUAAUUAUGCACGUUUUAGAACAUGCUAAUCCCAUAAUUUGAUAUAGGAUGCCAUUCCCCUAUUAAAGGUAAUUGACAUGGUUGUUCACUCAUAAAAUGUAUCCUGUUUCAUUUUUCUAUUUUUCUAUAUCUUGUAUCUUAUCAUAUCAUGUAUCCUAAGUUUUCUUACAUAAUGAAAAAUGAGAAGAAAAAAUACACAUACACAUAUGGAAUACAUAUUUAUUGGAAGCAUAAAAGUAUAUAGUAAUGUAUAAUCAAUUUUGUGAAAGGCGGUAGGAUUUAAAGAGUUAAACUAUGUCAAAAAGGAACACUAGAGUUUUGAACAGUUCAAUUUUACAAAAUAUGAGUUUAAUGCAUAGGUUUGUUACAAAAUCCACUAAAAUAAACUUUUUGAAAAUUUAGAUAUGAUUUUUAGUUCCAAAUUGAGAUUAGGAAUAUGUACUUACAUAUGUUUGUGAUAUGUAUGUUUUUAUGCGUUAUCACCAAAAUUUUAAUUUUUUGUGUUUUGUCAUCAUUCCUUUCUCACUGGAAAAGAAAUCUUAAAACUAAAAGAAGAAAAACUAAUUUAUUAAAUAAAAGAUUUUUAUUUACAAAUCGCCAUUAGUUUCAAUGCCAAUUUUCAAAUAAUUAAAAUGGCAAUUCCCUAAUAUUCAUUGUGAGAAUAAAUUUAGUUGAGCUUUCAAUAUUUCAUGUGUCUUUAACAACAAGAAUAUAACUUUUCAUGUAUGAUUAUUUUAUCCUUUUUAUGAUCAAUAUUUAACCUGAAAGUACAUUUUAAACACUUAAUUAAUAAUGCUUUUAAGAAAAAAAAAUGUUGAAUUUGAUUAUUCUUAGAAAAACUAUGAAAAAUAGCUUAAGGUGCAUGUAUUAUUAUAUCGUUGUAUUGCAUGUCAUAUCAUGUAUCCUAUUUGUGUUGUCUGAUACACUUAAGAUAUGGAUUGUCAAUACGUAUUUGAAUUCAUAAAGAAUGUAUUAUAUUUUUGUAUCAUAUUGUUUAUCAUAAGUUUUUAAUGAUGGUAACUAGAAGCCAUAUGCAUCCCAAGGGAUUUCCUUGGUCAAUAGUUAACCAAUUCAAUCAAUCUCACCUCUAUAACAUUCUUCUAGAUUAAAAGAUAACUUCUCCCAUGAAACAUCUAUGGAUGGAUAUUAGGACUUUCUUGGAGCAUCUAUCAAUGAUUAAGACUUUCAUCUAAUGCUGACAUCUAUACUCGAUUUCUUUUAUUUUCAGUAUUAUUAUUUUUUUGAAUAUAUAUUGGUGCCAUUACUAUUUCUUGCCAGAAGUAAAUGGAAUGUUUGCAUGGUAUGGUCAGUAGUGAACUUCUUUAAUAUAAAAGUCAGGAUGCAUCUCCUAAGCAGUCUUCUUGAUGGUUAUGAUACACUGUAUUAACAUUCGGUGCUUGAACCUUUCCAGGUAUUGGGUAGUGGUUUUGAGGUGAUAUCUGUUGGAAAGCGAAAGCUUGUUAGGUCUGUCCCUACAGAGUUGAACAAAGACCAUAAUGCAAUUCUAGAGCUGGCUCAGGUUAUGAUUGUUUUCAAUUUUUCACUUAAGACUUCUUGAUGCAAUAUUCUCUUAUAUAAAACUUAUUGCUAUUUUUUCUUCUCCUCCAUUGCUUGCCUGACAUUGUUAAUACUUUUAAAAUCCAUGCAUAUGUUAGUUUCAGAUUAUAGGACUGGCCUGAGUCAGAUUUGCUCUAUGUGUGUCAUUGGAGAGAUCACUUGGAGAGGAUCAACUAUUAAGAAGUGGAUCUAUCUUUCUUAUCAUAUUUAACCACUAAGAUAUGGGGCAAAAAAUUGCAAAAAGCAUGCAAAGACCUUUGUUUUAUUAGCUAGGUAGGCCAUAUUCUAAGGUCUUCUCAUGGAAUCCACGGACCGAGCACUUGUUCCAUGCUGUCAACCUAAAUAUGCUUGUUUUAAUAGUCAACUAGUUAUUAGUAACGAUGAAUAAAAAAACCUAGCAAAGAGUUAAGACCCAUAUUGUACAGCGAUUUAUAUUAGCAUGUUGUAGGUAUGACCAUAUGGGUUAGUGAAACCUCAUCCUUGCUCAGCAUCUGUCUGUCUGUCUAUCUCUUCACUUUCUGACAUGUGUGCACACAUACACAUAUAUGUGGUGAGUUGGGAUGACUUUGUUGCUGAACUAGCCUAGUUUGCUAAGGUGUACAAAGAUUUCAUUCUGAGCGUAGGGAAGUUCACCUGUGGUAAAGGUAGCUUGUUUGCUUUACUACAUGUAAAUGGAGCACUUUCAUUUUAGGCAAACUUGGGGACCUUAACCAAGUAAUCAGCUCUGGUCUAUUAAACACAGAACAAAACCAUUAGUUCUUUCCCUAUUUCCACUAUAAUGAUUGGCACAAUUGUGUUGCAAUUACUCUUCCUUCCAGGCUCAAGGUUUUGUUACUGUUGAAGAGGUGGAAAGACGGCUCUCCUGGCCCUCUGGGCGCGCCACUGAUGCCCUUGAAACUUUAUUGGACGUAAGAUUUUUGUUGAUUAUCUAUCAGUCCUAAUAUUCAUUUUAAUUGAUGCUGAUGAAACUCUGUUGGGUCAUGCAGGAAGGUCUUGCAAUGAUUGAUGAUGGUCACAGAGAUGGCAAACGCCGGUACUGGUUUCCCUGUGCAUCUUCACUCUCUGCUGUAGGAGCUGAUAUUCUCAAGAUUUGAUUUUUCAGCACCAUGUUUUCUGCCCUGGGCAUUGUCUGGUAAAAGGGUGUUUAUGAGAUAGGUCUAGCAUUGGAAUCCAGUAUUUUUGUUUAUUUAUCAGGAAAAAAAUGCAAAAAAUAAAAAUAAAAACCCCAUUUGUGAUAUAGACAUUUGAUGGGGGACCUGAAAGGAAAAAAAGGGUGUUUGUUCCACCCCACAACCCCGCUCCACCACUUUGUUUUCCUUGUAACUAAUGUUUCAUCUUUUUAAAGACGUGAUUGUCAGAACAUGAAGCAUCUCUCCACGACUAUCAUCUGUUCCAACUAUAGUUAUUCCCUUCCAUUUGAUGACUGGCAAAACAAUGAAACAGUGAAUAGUAAUCCUGAAACGAACUUUAUAGAAAAGCUUUAAUUGUUUGGUUGCUAAGAAAAUGGAGACAAGGAUGGAAGCGAUCCGUAGAUAUAUAUCAACAUUAAACUGGAUCGAGUGAUUAUAGCAUGAAUGUGUUCCUCCUGGUUGUGCAGCCAAUGACCAUAUACAUAUUCACUUUUUAGGAAUGAAUCUCCAAAUUAAAUACAUAAUGCAAUUUUUUUAUUGUCCCCAAACCCUGCAAUUCUGGCAAGGAGAGGGAGAAAAAAAAAUGAUCAGUAGACUGUAGUUUGUGAAGGUGUUUCAAUCUCUUCGAUCCAGCCAAAGUUAGGCUCGCUCCAAGACCUCGGCCGCACACCAAGCUGGAAGAACAAGAUCAUCUCCAAGGCCUCAAAAACCUUAUUCUCAUCCAAGAACUCUUUCCAAACUCCGCUUACAAUACAGUAGUUAUUGUUAUAAGGCACAUGAUGGUGGGCAGCAUGCUGUGAUCUCGACACUAGCAGACCAGCAUCUUGCAGCGCCACCACUAGCGGAGGGAGGCGGCUUUUUGUGCCAUGAGCCUAGGCAUGGAACUGCUGGCUGAACAUAAUGUAGCCUGAGCACACCCAAACAAAGCCAUGUACAACUGGAUCAUUGAAGACAAGAUCUGGAGGAAGCACAGUAAAGGUGACAGCAUGAGCCAGGGCGUGUAGAUUGUUGGCAAACUGAAGGCGGGUGAUCGUCCAAUGCCACUUGUGAUGGCCCUGGAAUGCUUCAAUCUGAGAACCAAACACAGGAGUUGAGGCAUCACCAUAGUUAUCAAUGCCUCAAUGGUAUGCCCCUGCGCGAAUGUCUGCAAGCACAUAGCCAAUUAGGCCAGCGAAAACAGGUUCAAGCCACAUAUGUGAAUUUGCUGAACCUGUGGCACGCUUCACCAAAGAAAUCAGCACGGUGGUGAACCCGCUCGCCACCCAAGUUUGAAGAGGCUAGUUAGAUAGUAAAUCCUGGUCAUUGAUUGAGGGGCGGUCAGGGGUUUUGGCAAUGCGGGUGGGGUUAAGGGUCUUGGUUCAAUGACUAGUUGGCCAGCUUUGCGCUUGGCCUUGGCAGUGGAGGUGGCUGAGCAGUGGACAAGGGCGGGGAAGAGUAUAUGGUGGCGUCUACCGACAUUGUUGGGAGACCUUAGAGAGUAGUACUUGUGAUGUGGGAAGGAGGUGGAGAUUGAAGGGUGUGGGAGGCUAAGAAAAAACCCACCGCAAGAGGGAGUAAAUAAAGGUGGAAAUAGUGGCUGUGGAGAUAGAGAAAGCAGUGUGGUAUGAGGAGAUGAUGCGUGGGGCUGUGGAAGUCGCUAGUGGUGUGUGGAGAAUGUGUCACAGAUUGCUUAAAAGCUUAUCCUGGAUGAUUCCUCAACUUCUCUACCAAUAUACAUUAUUCAUCAAGGUUCAAGCUACACCAAUGUACACCAUCCACCAGUCAUCAUCAAUCAAGCAAGGUUCAAAGUAAUGGUAGAGUUGGAUACAAUUCAGCCAAGUCGUGUUCAACUUUACCACUAAUUGUAGUAAGUAGUAGUAUUAUGCAUGGUUCAAAGUUGUAGUAUCGAUAAUUGACUUGGAGGGUUAUGAGGCAUAUCGGUCUCAACGUCUCGAUUUGGUAUUGGGCGACACGUAAAAUAAGAUAAUUAAAAUUUUCUAAAAAUUAUAAAAAUAUUAUAUAAAUUAUAAAAAAAUAGAUAUAAUUAAAUAAGCUCAAAAAUUUAAUAAACAAUUUUUUUUUUUCACAUUUAGUUCAAAGUUAUUUGUGAUAAUAUUAAGAAUUGGGGAUUUAAUUCUCAUCUUGCCAUAUAAAUACUUUAAUUUAUCAUUAAAUCUCAUCUAUACCUUUCAUAUCAUUUUACUCUAACCACUCAAUUCUCAUAAUAUCUUACUAUUAAAUCAUAUCUCAUACCAUCCAUAUAAAAGACAUUUUUUACUUUACUAAUUUGAACUCCCAAUCUCCCACCCUUGCUAGCCACCAUUGUUGUCAAGACCAUCGCCUGCAAUUGCAAAUUUGAAACCGUGCAAGACCUAACACUGGUAUAAUAUGGUAUGCAAUCCUUACAAGUUCUAAAACCAUGCCGUUCUACAUAUCUAGGCCUAAAGCGAUGGGGAAAUUGAAAAUAAAUUUUAGUUGUAUUUGAGUUAACAAAGAAAAAAAAGGCAGACGAUCAAACAAACUUUAAACAACAAAAGGGUAAAUUAUAGAUGACAUCUGAGCAUUCAAUGUAAAACGAUCAAUCUCUUUAGGGAGCUCAAGCGUAUCAUCAUGGAGGGUGUUCAAGUGCCCUCUACUUUUUAUUUUCCAAAGGUUUUAUAAAGUCAUGAAAAUUUUUCACUUUUCAAAAGGGGUUUUACAUAAUUAGAAUUUAGGGUUUUGAUAUAAAAAUAUCUUUUUGUGUAGGGGAAAAGUGUCUUUAUAAAGACAAAAAUAAAAAUAAAAAAAUAAAAAAUCAUAAAACAAGAAUUAAAUUCAAAUACAAUACUCAUUAUGAUUUUGUACACUUUUAGGCAAAAGUAUUAUCUUUGACUAUAAAACCAUAAAACUACAAAAUAAGAACGCAAGUUUAUAAAAUACAAAUUUUAAAUACUCAUAUAAAAAUAAUUAAUAUUUUAUGUUUUUUAUUUUUAUUUUAUAAAAUGUGUUAUCUUUGAUUAUUCAAGUAUUACAUUUUAAUGAGAUAAGUAUUAUCUUUGACCUUCUUAGGUACAAUCUUUAACUUAUAAGUACAUAAAAUUUAAAUUAUUUUUAGAUACUAUCUUUGAUCAUUCUAAGUACUACUUUUAAUUUUAGAGUGCAUGAAACUUGAAUUAUCUUUCGGGAGUUAUCAAUUUGUGUUUAUUUUCAAAUUUUUGAAUGAGUCAUUUAAUUAUUCCCUAAAAUAUUCUUUCUACUUGCCAUCAACAUUCAUUGAAAACUAGACUCCUCCACGUAAAUAUUAAGGGUUUCCAAUGGUUGGGAAGUAGUAUGCCUGAUUCACUUUCAUAGGAAUUGAUAGACUAAAGAUACAAAUCUGAAAAAAAAAAGGUACUUGCUUUCAUCAACUUGUUAAUAUUAGGGAUAUUGAUUAAUUGUCUAGAAGAGAAGAUCAUCUAGAAUGAUAUAUGAGGAAUUCAAAGGCAACUAUUGGCUCUAAGCCUAUGCAUAUGAAUCAGAAGACAGUUCUACCUUUUCAAAUUGUAGAAGACAUACUAAGUACAAGACGAUGCAUUUAGGCGGAGGAGUUUAGUUGUUAGUUGAUGUUAAUGACAUGACAAGUAAAAUGACAUUUUAAGGAAUAAUUAGACGAUUUAAAAAAUUUAGAGUUAUUUUUUUUCAUAUUUUUCAUACUAGUGAGUCAUAAGUCACUUUUCCUAAUAAAAAAAAUAGUAAUAUGACACCAAAUUCUACUCGGGAUUUUAAUUCUCCGUGCCACGUGAUAUCAUAAAUGAUUUGAGAAAGGGAUCAUAAAAAAAUAAAUAAAUAUAUAAGAACUUAAAUAAAUUCAUUGUUGCAUGCAUUUUAUUUGUGAAAGUAGUGUUGCGCAUAAUAACAUGAAGGUGGUAAACAGAAAUCAGUCCCAAACAUCAAGAGACUGCAGAAGAAUGCUUGGCUUGGUGUGGUCAAAUGUUGUAAUUAUUUAAUUAUGAGUUUGUUGAAUGCAUUUAAUUGCAAUUAUUUUUUCAAGAAUUUAUGUAUAUUAUAAAAAUAUUAGGUUUGAUAAUUGUUUUUUGGUAUGAAGACCAAUGGUAGAGCGACACGUGAAGGGAUUUUUUGAGAGGCCGUUUCUUUAGGGUGGGAUUCUGCAGGCCGUGAAAAAGAAGGGGGCAAGAGUGAGCUGGUUUGGGGAGCAAAGGAGGGAGAAACAGAAGAGCGGAAACGGUGAGACUGAGCUGUUUUUGGGGAGAGAUGUUUUUCGGGAGGUGGUUUUUUGAGCUGAACAGAGGAACAGAUUGAGUACCGGCUGAAGGAGGAUCUAGAAGAGGAAACAUGAGUAAGGGGGAUUUUUUCUGAGUUCCCCAGAGCAGAAGAGGAGCAUUGGGAAGGACUUCCAGGUAAGUUUACUUUGUAUUGUCCAUUUUCUCCCAUAUCAUACUAUUUUCUUUCUUUGUUGUUGUGUUUGGUUGGCAUUUGUUGCUUGGAUGUGUGAAUCAGAGAACACAUUGAUUCCAGCUGAUUUAUGGGUUGUAUUGACAUUGCCAUAGUUGUUUCAUUUCCUUUGCCUUGGUUCUGUUAGGAUUAUUUUGUCCCUGUUUCAUCUGUGUUUGAUGCUUGAAAAUCAUGCCAGUUGUUUUUGUUAAUUCCACCCGUCCUUGGCCCAUGGAUGUCGCCUGAAAUGAGGCUCUGUACAUUCGUUAUCCGCUUGAUUUCCUUUUGUUAUUUCUUCAGUCCUUACUCUGCCUCUAUCUCUGCUUUCUAUUCCUCUAUUUGUGGUAAGUUCGGGGUGUUGAGUAUUCCAGCUAGGUUGGCCAUCUUGGUUGGGGUGUUUCUGGGAGUUGCAACUCCACUACUAUAUUCUGUGGAUCCUUAGCUGCAGACUCUGAUGUUUGAGCAUGAGGAGGGUCCGACUGUGAAAGAGGUAUUUCUCGAUUUUAGGUCGCAAGGUGUUGCUGCAGAGCAGAUUGGUGAUUUGAUCAGGAAAUUGAAUGAUGGUAGCCUUAUUCUUGGUGGUUUGACCAUAUCGAGCAUUGCUUGGGUAGCCUGAAGUGGGGAUUCUUACAGGAGCAGGCAAUGCAGAAAGCUAAGAAGGAGAGAGAGAUGGUGCAGAAUAUUGCCUCUUCUAGUUCAGCCAAACCCACAACCUGUGAUGAAGUUUGCCAGAUUAAGUCAUCGCUCCAUGGACAUUGUUCUUGUCACUCGAGAAGAGUGGUGAUUGCUCUCAGAGUAAUCGACAAGCAUGAGAUGAAAAUAGCAACUUAUUGGUGAUUGAGUAUGGGUUUUGCAAAUCCAAAGACCAUCAAACCUUAUCAAUGCAAGAAGAACCUUCCUAUCCUAACUCCUAUGACCUUCCAUAUAAACACUCAUUCGUGGGGUAUAGAAUCUAUUCCCUCAAUCCCAGUUCUUGAUUUCUCUGCUCAAAAUGGCCACCCCGCUCUUUGCGGAUAUUGACAGUAAGGAGAACCCAAGAAUAUGGUUGUCAAGUAGGCAUCAUUAGACUUGCAGGUGGAGCCCUCAAGAAAGCCUCUUUAUGCUUAUUUAAUUGUGGUCCUACUGGUUCUAAAACAUUGCUUAUUGAUGGGAUUGACUAAUAAGUAUCAUGCAAACAGAUGGUGGGAAUUUUCGGUAAUUAUUUGAAUGAAGAAGAAACUUGAUGGACAUUCACUUGGGAUUGAGGAGAGCUGAAAAAGAGGCUAAUUGACAUCCAAGUCAUGCACUAGUUUACCAAUCAUGUUAUCAGAUGAAACUUCAUAGUUUUCUAGGGAAAAAAAAUUUAAAUGGUAGUAAUGAGACGGAAGGCACUGUUGGUUGGAAGCUUUCAAGCAGUCCAUGAAUACUUCACCUUGCCCUAGUCUCUCAAGCCCCAUUUUUGUUUCUUCACACCAUACCCCACGCCUACAACCCCAUCACAAGCUCAUCGCCUUCCCAUCUUUCAUACCCACCAAACCCAAAUCUCAAACCAAUCAUCCGUCAAACUUUCCAACCUCCACCUCCUGGUCUGCCUGCUCUACCCAAUCUGACCCCAUCUGUUCCACCCAACAAGUGCCCCAACGCCAUCCCAGAUCCGAAGACUGUGCAGUAUGUGGAGAAUGACUGUGGAUAUUCCAUGAAGCUCAGCAACUACCAUCUAGGGGGUAUCCAUUUGCAUCUAACGAACAAGGUUUUGAUGUGUUCAACACUGCCAUUGAUGAACCAUUUGAAUCCACAUUAGUCAGUACAGUACCUCUAAUUGUUGGCGCCACAUAUUUGGCUUCCAAUGCAAUUGACUCUUUGCAUGGCCACUUCCUGUUUCUAAAUGCUCCAUCUAUCGGCGUACUAUGAAGCAACUUCUUUGCGUGUAUCUAGAGACCACUCGAUUCCCUUAACACCUUUCCACCACUCAUCCCUUACUCUUUGCUUUCUCCACAAAUUCAAUAGCACCUUGGAGUUUUGCCCGAAAGACACGAAGCAUGCCUUAAGAUUGGAAAAGCGAAGGAUGUACAACUAUUGUGCUUAUGAUUUGCUGUUCUUGCAUUUCGGAACCUCAAAUGAAGUGCUUGAUUACCUAAGCGAGGUAGGCUCAAAGCUUGUAGAUCAAAGACACUUGUGUUCUGUUCUAGCAAUCAUCAUACCUAACAUUUUCACUAUGUGGGUGGUCAUUUACCUUAUCUGUAUUUCCGUCCAUGGAGCUAGGUUAAUAGCACUGAAAGAGCUUAUGGAGAUGGAAGAAAAACUUGUCAGAAAGAAUCGCGUUUUGUUCAAAUCAAAACUAGCUGUUGGAUCGUGGUGACAGUCUUCAUGCAAUGAGAACAAGGUUGCAACUUGCCUCCAUAUUCUUGCUGAAAAUAGCUCUCAAUGCCCACAAGCCAUGACCUUCAGAAGAAUCAAUUCAGUGGCUAAUCGCCAUCUCUCAUUGGCUCACUGGAAUUGCAUUGCAAAAUUCAGCUCAACUGAGAAGUUUAUCAUUGGUAAAUUGCAAUUUGGUUGGUCCUCUGCCAGAACUUAUGGAUGUGAUUCUUACGGAGAAGUCGCGGUUCCGAACAAACUGAACUUGGUUAUCCUCAUGAUAAUAGAGGACCAUGGAAGUUCUUAUGAAGAAACACAAUGAUUAAGAUGUGAAAGAUGAACAGACAGUGGAUAUUCUAGCCCUGGAGUUGGAAAAUGUUCAAUCAAGCGACACUUUCCAGCACUAGUGAGAAGAGCCUUUUGCAUCUCGUCAAUCACUAUUCUCACUACCCAAAGCAUUUUGCCAUUGUUUUGCUUUGUUGCAAAGAUCUUAAGUCUUGAAGAUGAGCUGUCAUCCGACAGUGAAAUGGGUACAGAGAGGACUUUCUUUUCCAAGUUCCUAAAUAAGUCACAAUCCCUGGUAGUUUUCAUGUACAAGGGUCCUAAGUACCUUUCGCCAAAUUCAUCUGAUUCAAGAGAACAUCAGCUAAAGGAAGCAAAUCACCCGCGCAGAUUUUGGUGAGAGCCUGAAGUAUUUAUAGCAAAAUGGUGGCGUAGGAACUAUUAUUUGGAACUGCAGAUGUUGAUGGUGAGAAAGGAAAUGGAGCAUAUGGGUAUGCCCAAGUCUCCACGGAUGGAAAAUGUCACCAACUUUGUUGAAGUUGAUCCUACUGUAGCUUCAUUAUGUGAAAUGGAUCUGGGUAAAAGAGAAGGCAAGAUAUCUUCUCACCUCCUUUGUUGAUGGACUCGUUAGUGUCAGCAGAUUCUUGCGAAGACUUGCUUGCACCUGCUCAAAAUUUGUAUCCUAGAGAAGAUACCCCGGGCCCAUUUCUACACCCAUGCAUGGCCACCUUUGGCAUGCAAUCCCAUCUUUGCACCCCGGACCCCACUCUUGCAUGGCAUGCAUGGCCACCUUUCGGUGGGUCAGUUUUUUUAAAAUCCUUGUCCUCAUUUUCUCACUUCUUCAUCUUUUGCUGUCAAAAUUUGAUUUUCAAAACUCCAGUUUUUCAAAUAAUUUUAAUUCUACUCUGGUUUUCAAAUAAUUUUAGUUUUUUUUUUUCUCCUUCCUUAAAGUCUAGAAUCACCAAAAAUCCCGUUUUUAAUAAACUUGCUGCCUUUUUCCUCCAAGCAAACACUUUCACAAAUUUUCUUUGAUUUUAAAAUAAUUUUCCGAUUUUCUCGUUUUUUUAUAAAUAUGAAUGAAUUUUCAUAAUUCCAAAAUAAUGGAAUUCAUGAGAUUAAUUCAUGUCAAAUCAAUUGGGCUUUGGUGGGGGCCCUACAUAUGAGUUUUCUCCUCUGAUUGUCAACUGCUAUGCUUAAUGAAUUUUGUCUGAUCUCUGUCAUGCUCUUUGAUAUGCAUGUGAUAAUUUUAUACACGAGCUAACCUUGUUUCCAUGAUAACACAUUCUUAUUUGCUGCUAAGGUACGCUCCCACUCUCACUUUUUUUAUUUAUUCUCCAUGCAUGAUUGACUUCCAAUGUAUGAAUAUUCCUUGAUAUUAAUUGAUUUCCUUAUCAAUUGUCACACUUACUUCACCUUAUUUAGUAGAAACUCGUUUUUAAGGGGUUUAGCGGGGUGCUGUGGCUCGUCACCGUAUCUUCUCAAUAGGUAACUUGACCUCCGGACCCAGAUUUGGUUUUCAUAGACCAUUUUUUCCUUUUAGGAGUUGCACCUAGGGUUUUCUUUCUUAUUUUGUUUUCUGUUAAAAAAAAAAAAAGUAGUCGCGCCAUCAAGUGGGGAACACAUCAUGAAAAAUGCGAGGCCCACAACUAGACAUAAAAAUUAUUUUUAAAACAUAUUUAAAAAUAUGUUAAAAAGAAUUCAAAUUCUCAAAUAAACUUAUGUUUUAAGAAACAUUAGAAAACGAUUUUUAAAAACUAUAAUAAAAAACUAUUUUUGAAAAUAGUUACCAAACAGAGUCGAAACAAAGUCUUAUGUUUGAUACUUUUUUUUAGUAAUUUUUUUUGUAGUAUUUUAAUUGAAUAGUUGAUUUGAUAUACUGAUAGUGUCUUGAGACAUUGGAGAAAGAAAUGGAAUCGAAUAAAAAGAAAUGGAAUCAUUGUUUCUAGAAAUUAGAUGGUAGAGUCCAAGAGAAGGUUGGGCACUACCUUGAAUUAAUGGAUGGUUGAUGAGCAAAAGAUAGGGAUGAAGGCAUUGGUGGUGGGUGUUCUCCUUAAGUUUCCAACCCCAAAUAUGGACAAAAAGGAUAAGACUUCUCCCCACAAGUAAAAGAGCAGCAAAGUGGAAUAUGCUAGGGUUUUAAGCAUGAAAAACAGUCAUAAUUUCCACUUGUUUAUGUCAUCAAUCAUGGACAAAAAGGAUAAGACUUCUCCCCACAAGUAAAAGAGCAGCAAAGUGGACUAUGUCAGGGUUUUAAGCAUGAAAAACACUCAUAAUUUCCACUUGUUUAUGUCACCAAUCAUGGACAAAAAGGAUAACACUUCUCCCCACAAGUAAAAGAGCAGGAAAGUGGAAUAUGCUAGGGUUUUAAGCAUGAAAAACACUCAUAAUUUCCACUUGUUUAUAUCAUCAAUCAUGGACAAAAAGGAUAAGACUUCUCCCCACAAGUAAAAGAGCAGCAAAGUGGAAUAAGCUAGGGUCUUAAGCAUAAAAACCCUCAUAAUUUCCACUUGUUUAUGUCAUCAAUCAUGGACAAAAAGGAUAAGACUUCUCCCCACAAGUAAAAGAGCAGCAAAGUGGAAUAUGCUAGGGUUUUAAGCAUGAAAAACAGUCAUAAUUUCCACUUGUUUAUGUCAUCAAUCAUGGACAAAAAGGAUAAGACUUCUCCCCACAAGUAAAAGCGCAGAAAAGUGGAAUAUGCUAGGGUUUUAAGCAUAAAAAACACUCAUAAUUUCCACUUGUUUAUGUCAUCAAUCAUGGACAAAAUGGUUUAGGGCCAUCCAUAUCUUUUUGGAAAUGAGCUUGAUUUGAUGUAUUGUUUUCCUUAAGUAAUGCAAGGAAAAAGUCCAAAAAUACGAAGGCAUGCGGGUAUGGAUUGUGAAUAAAUUAUAUAUGAGUCAAACUUAGAUCCACCUCUCAUCAUCCAAUAGUGUCUCUCUCCCUUUCUCUCCUACACCAUCUCCCCUCAUCUCCCCCAUGGCACCAUCUUCUCCCUCCGCCUGUCUCCUCCAAACCACCCAUCUCAGAACCUUCCUCAUAAUCUCUCUUCUGGUCUUUGUGCCCCCCAUUCAUGCGCUGAAACUCCCAAUUUGGCCGCGGGACAGACAGCUCUCAAGGCCGAUUCUCAACUCCCUCCACAGCGCAGUGGACCUUCUGCCCACUUUUGUGGGCUCUGUCUCCUCCAACGAGACUGUCGAGUGGACAGGAACGUGCUUUUACAAGACCAGUGCUUGGAUGGAGUUCAACAACAAAAGUGGGAGCGAAUUUGGUGGGGGCACACUUCAUAUUAAGGUUUGGGUUUGGUCUUGGGUUUUGAUUGUUUUGUUUGAUUUUGAUUGGUUUUGUGGGAAUAGGGAUUGUUGGGCAUGUGGGUUUUGGUUGUUAUUGGACCUCAAUGAGGUUUCCCGGAUUUUCAUUUGAGGGUGGGCAGUCACAAACGUACCUGAUUCUUUUUUGUUUUUAAAUUUUACUUAAUUUUAUGAUAUUUAAAGUAUUGGUGAUUAUUUUGUGUGAUUUUUGGUUGAUUUUCUGGAAAUUUAGAGUAUUGGGAGGUGGGUUUAGUUUUUCUUGAAUAGCAAUAAUCUUUCAGGUCUGUGAUGAGAAUACCUGAUUGGGGCACUAUCUUUGCCUACCUUUUUAUUUUUUAUUUCUAAGGAAAAUGAUUUUCACAGUGAAAAUUUGUAAGAGAAUUAAAUGUAAUUAAACUUAGCAAAAAAUUAUAUAUUUUUAAACCAUUUAAUAUUUGAAUAGAAGAGAAAAAAAUAAGUGAAAUCACUUUAAAUAUAAAAAUAAUUUAUUAAUUUUAUUUAUUUAUUUUUUCUACCUUCUACUUUUCCUUUUUAUUUUAUUUCCCUUGCAUUUUCCCUCAUAUUUUUCAGGAACCAAACAUAUAAUUAGUGUUUUAGAGUAUUGGAUAUAUGGGUAUCAGUGGCAGUGAUAUCUGAGUAUUGGUGGCAGUGAACACUACGGACCUUUUAUUCUCAAGGUGUCAAAUAGACAUGCAUAAUUCUUUGGUAUUAGUUUGCUUUUGUAGAAAUAUGGAGAACUGGGUGUAUGGAUAUUUGUAAUAUUAAAAACUACUUAUCUUUUGUAGGACCUCUUUGGAUGGUUUGUCCAGAGGUUUGUGGUGAGACUCAAUUGGGGUUUAAAUUUUAGUUGAUUUUCUACCAUUUUUGUAAAUAUAUAUUGAAUGAUACUGCCCUGAAAAUUAGCCUUUUAAAGGAGAUAUCAGAGGGAUUUGUUAAUGUUAGAUUAUGUUUGUAUCUAUGUUGGAGAAGUUGCAAAUUGGUAGUGCAGCUUCUUAAUACUUGAUGGUGGCUGCUAGGCUUCCAUUUUUGCAACCCACUUUUGUCCUACAUAUAUUAGUAUUCCACAAUAAUGAUGCACUAACACAAGUGAUGUUACAGACUCAGGGACAAGUGUCAGGUCCAGGUCUAGCUUUUGUUUCAGAUAGAUCUGAUUCCCAAAUUUUUACAUUUAUAGUUGGUUGAAUCAUAAAAAUGUCCAAAUUUAAUCAAUGUCUUCCUUAAGAUAAAAUGAUAUUUCUCUGUUACAUAGCUUGUUUGACAUUGGAACUUGAUACUUUUUGAAACAUUUAUUGAUGAGGAUAAAGCAGGAAGCUAUCCUAGGGAAGGAACUUGUUCUUGUCUUCAUUUGUUGUAUACUUCUGCUGCUAAUGUCUGAUAGUGGAUUGGCUUGUUUCAUAUUCACAACCCAUACCCGUGUAAUGUUGAAACAUAGAGCAAAUGCGAUGGUGCAGAUAGAGUGCAUAAGCAAUGUUACUGCUUUCAUCUGGAAGUAUUACCAAUGCAACAUAAGUAGAAAGUAACUCAGAGCUUUCAUAAGGUCUUUGAACAAUUUUUUCCUUGGAUUUAAUGUUGUUUCAUUUUUUGGUUUGUAAUUUUAGAUAAUGGCCUUAUUGAACAUAGACAUAUUAGUCCUUGUUGGAUUUAGCUCCAACACUGCUUAUUAGCUUGGAAGCUUCUUGUAUUAGUAUAAUCAUAUACCCUAAUAUGGCCAGCAGAAGAAUAAAUUAUUUUUAGCUUUAAAAUGCUAUUCUUUACUUGUUCAGGUUAGUAAUGCGCAUAGUUGGAAGUGUAUGGACCUUUAUGUCUUUGCAACUCCAUACCAAGUGACAUGGGAUUACUACUUUUUGUCUCGGGAGCAUACCGUUCAAUUUGAUGCAUGGGAAGAAAAAGCUGAGUUUGAAUACGUAAGUUACUACUGGAUAGCACUUACUACCUCUUCUAAUUGUUUCUUAGUAUUUAUUCCUGAUUCAUAAUAUAUCCUUACUUUCUACUAAAUCAGGUGAAAAACGAAGGGGUUUCAGUUUUUCUCAUGCACGCUGGGAUGCGGGGAACCCUUGAAGCUCUCUGGGAUGUCUUCCCAUUAUUCACAAAUACUGAAUGGGGUGAGAACGCAAACCUUGGGUUUCUCAAGAAGCAUAUGGGGGCUUCAUUUCAAACACGUCCUCAGCCAUGGGUUACAAACAUUAGUGUUGAUGACAUUCACUCUGGAGAUUUCCUUGCAAUAUCAAAAAUUCGUGGACGGUGGGGUGGUUUUGAGACUCUAGAGAAGUGGGUCACGGGAUCUUAUGCUGGUCAUUCCGCAGUUUGCUUAAGGGAUUCUGAAGGGAAGCUAUGGGUUGGUGAAUCAGGACAUAGAAAUGAAAAGGUGAACCCUUACAAUUUUCUGAAUCAUGUGACAAUGAAGUAGUAGAAUUAUAUCAAACAUAAGCUCUUACUGUCAACAAUUUUUCAUACUGUUUCAAUUGGUAAUAUUUUCCAAUUUCUUUUUACUAUUUUAAAUUUUUUAACAUGUUUUUUCCUGUAUAUCUAUAGGCACGGGGCUAUUUUAAGGCUAUUCUGUUGCUACGAUGGUGUUUCAGUUGAAAAUGUCCUAUGAGCUGCAUUACGCAGUCAUGUUGCAACCAAGACAGCUCUAGCAAUAAUUCCUUUUCUUUAAACUCUUUAAUUUUAGUGCUGCACUUAUUGUUUACUUCAUUUAUUAAUUUGGUGUUUUCCCCAUUUGCUGACCAAUCCUUAAACUAUUUGGGUAUGCCAAGGUUGACUAUUUCUUAUUCUUCUGCUUGCAUUACAUCUAGAAAGUUUAAAAAUUACCACAUUUUGUAUACAAUAAUUCAAUGUGGGAUUUGAGAGAGGGAAAUAAUUUUAUUCAUCAAAGAUUCUUUUGGAUCAUUAUGUUUACAUGAGUUUCUUAUCAGAUGAUACAAACUACAGUCCUUACCAGAUAAUAUAAGUUACAUACUUUUGUUUUAAUAGAAAUAAGCUUCAAUUUUUUGGUCCUUUUCUUUUAAAUUAUUAACAGAGAUUGAGUGGCAUUUUUUUUUCUUGAAGAAUAUUUUUUUUCCUUAUUCAAUUUUUUGUACUUCUCUAAGACAUUAACCUUAACUAAUAAUUAGGUAUGGGCACUCAUAUGCAACUAUGAUUUUGAGUUAAUAAAAAAUGGUGCUUUACAUUUUUGUUCUAGGGAGAAGAUGUUAUUGUAACAUUACCAUGGGACGAAUGGUGGGAUGAUGCACUAACUCAAGAUGAUUCCAAUUCUCAUAUUGCGUUGCUUCCUUUGCAUCCUCACCUCCGAGCCAAGUUUAAUGAGACAGCUGCCUGGGAGUAUGCACGUAGCAUGGAAGGCAAACCUUAUGGUUACCAUAACAUGAUAUUUAGCUGGAUAGAUGCUCUGGAUGAAAACUAUCCACCCCCCUUAGAUGCUCAUGUGGUAUUGUUUUUCUCUAUUGUUUCUCAAAUUAAGCAACAACAUGCAAUUAAAACAAGAGUCAGAAAUGUUUCUCAGAUUUGGAUUAUUUUUUUAAAGGUGCUCUGCUAUCAUCUUAUGUAGUUUCAUACAUUUUAGUAUGCUGCUGCUCCCUAUCAAACACCCCUCUGCCAACCAAAAAAAGCAGAUCUUGGUGGAUCAACCAGAUUGCUGGUAGUGUAAAAGUUUUAUUUUCAACUAAUCAGCUUUGACUGUUUGUUUUAUGUGGCAUAGGUUGCUGCAGGUAUGACAGUUUGGAAUCAAAUGUGGCCUGCAUAUGCUGCUAACUUAUGGAAUGAGGCCUUGAACAAGAGGCUUGGAACUCAGGUAUUUAAUUAGUUGUUCUUCACCUUGCUUGACCAUUCACAAAUUAUCUUACUGAUGUGUUGGUUUACUGAUAUGGCAUUCUAAUGUCAAAAAUGAUAAUGUACAUGGUUGUUAAUUCGUCACCUUUUUCAUUGAUGAAUAACAUAUGGAACAUUUUGAAGCCCUUGAGGCCAAGCACACCUGGCAAGGGGUUGGGUUGAGGAUAUGGAAGGUUCUAGGUGUGAGUCCCAGCAUGGGCAAGAAAAUAAAUCUUAUUCAUAUAGAGGAAAAAACAUAUUGAACAUCUGAAUCUUUGAUGUAUAAUUGGUUGGAAAAAUAAAGUUCACCAUGUAGACUGCAUUAGGAAUUUGGGACUUGGCAUUUAAGGAUCCUCCUAAGUAUCCUCGGUCUGACGUAGAUAUCAUCAUGGCUGAUCUUAAAAAUCAAGUCAUCAGAAAUCUUGUAGUUUUAGAAAAAGUUAUAUCUAAUGGUUGCAAUCAUACUUGGUAUUGUUGAAUGUUAGAUUUGAAAUAAGAAAAAUGUCUAGUUGAUUUUUCUGAGAGAAAAAGGAAAAAUUGUUCUUGUUCUUAGCAUCCGAUGUAACUUUUUCCUUAAUGCAGAACCUUUCUCUUCCUGAGAUUCUAAUUGAAACUGAAACGCGUGGAUCGUCAUUUGCUGAAUUGCUGACAAUUCCUGAGCAGGAUGAUUGGGUUUACACUGAUGGAAAGUCAACAUCUUGUGUUGCUUUCAUUCUGGAAAUGUAUAAGGAGGCAGGAUUAUUUGGUCCAAUUGCUAGCUCUAUUCAAGGAACUGAGUUCACGGUGAGUCAAAGCAAUACAGAGUUUGCUAGUCCUGAUUAAAAGAAGUCACCAUUUAGCAUUAUCAUGAUAUAUUUUGGUUAUCAGUAGAUAAAUGUUAUGAAGAAAAUUGAACAUAAAUUAUCCAGCAUCAAAUGAUUAGGAUGAUCUGAUCCUAGUGGUUUUGGGGUUGAAGGUUUUCUGAACCAGAUAAAUGAUCCGUGUUCCUGUUUCACAUUCCCUCCUUAGUCUGCAUCGGAACUUAACUUAUAAUGUUCCCAAAUCAAAGUGUUAAGCAAUCUGAUUUAGUGGGUUGUUUGUGUAAAAAAGCAGAGUUAUUGCUGUCUUGCAUAUGUCUCAAUUUGUUUUAUUUCCAAAAAUGCAGAUAAAAGAUGCAUACACACUGAGUUUUUUUGAAAAUGAUUCAAGCCGCCUGCCAAAAUGGUGCAAUGAUGGGGACAUUGUGCAGCCUUAUUGUCAGAUAAAAGGAAAGUAUCGAAUGGAAUUGCCAGAGUACAAUACCCUGGAUCCAUACUCUCAUAUGAACGAAAAAUGCCCAUCCCUGCCUCCAAAAUACUCGAGGUCUGCAAAUUGCUGAAAAGGAUGAAAGGUUGUAGGUUUUAGAAUCAAGAAGUGUUAGAAGCAACAAAAAAAACUAUAUUUGAGCUAGCGAAAAUGUCUACUCUUAUUGAAUGAUCAAUGCAACAUUUAUACACAAGUUUGUAACAGAAAACAACAGAAAAGCAGCAAAAAUAGCUAUAUGUUGGGACUAACAGCUAUUUCCUUUAAAAUAGCAACAGCUACAUAACAGUUAUUAAGCUCCAUGAAACUCUAUCAGCUUCAUUGACUAAGUUUUUCAUGGUUGCAGCCUCAAUUUCAGCAUCUCUUUACACCUCAGCAGCUUUCUUAACAGAUUCGCUUUCACACGACUUCCGGCAUGUUUGUAGGUACUAAGGCAUUUUACUCAACACUCCUCCUUGACUUAGGAGCUACAAACUCCAAGUCUUUUAAUGAGAAAUUCAAACCUAGCUCUCGGUAGGGCUUUUGUUAGAAUAUCAACAUUUUGUACUUCUGUUUUACAAUGUUCCAAAUUUACUUCUCAAUCCUGCCGUAUUUCCCUUAAGAAAUAAAACUUGAUUUUUAAGUGCUUUGUCCUGCCAUGGAAUAUUGGAUUACUUGCAAUUUAAAUUGCAGCCUGAUUGUCAACAAAGACUUGUGUGCUUCCAGUUUGCUCCAUGUUUAGGUCUGUUAGCAGCUUUCUUAUCCAAAGUGCUUGAUUUGCAGCUGCAACAACAAUGUACUCUGUUUCGGCUGUGGAUUGUAGCACGAUAUCCUGUUUUUUAGAACACCAAAAGAAAAAACCUGAACCAAAACUGAAGCAAUAACCUGAUGUGCCUUUUAUAUAUCUCACAACACGUUUUGCUGCCUGCAAGUGAAUUUCACUAGCACAAUGCAUGUAUCUUGAGAGUAGACUUACAACAUGUACUAUAUUUGGCCUUGUUGCAGUCAAAUACAUUAGGCAUCCAAUCAUGCUUCUGUAUAACUCUUCAUCUACUUUUUCAGCACUAUUUUCUUUACAAAACUUUUCUUUUUGAUUCAUAGGUGUUGCUGUGGGCUUGCAUUCCUCCAUCUUGAACUUUUUGAGUUUCCUUUGCAUACUUUUGCUGACAGAUGAAUAUCUCGUGCUGAUUCUGAUGCACUUCCAUUCUCAAGAAAUAAGACAUGUCUCCAAGAUCUGUCAUCUCAAAGACCUCCUCCAUUUCAGCUUUGAAUUUAACCAUUAAACAUUGAUUGCUCCCUGUUACAAGCAAAUCAUCAAUGUAUAAUGAAACAAUAAGUAUGUCAGAAUUAACUUUUCUAAUAUAAAGUCUGGAUUCACUUUUGACCUUUUUUAGACCCCAGACUAAGCAGAUGUGCAUUAAUCCUGCUGUACCAAGCUCUGGGGGCUUGCUUUAAGCCAUACAAGGCUUUCUUUUGUUGAUAAACCUUGUCUUCUUUCCCUUUUACUGCAAAUCCUUUAGGUUGUCCCACGAAGAUUUCCUCCUCAAGGUAGCCAUUUAGGAUGGCUGAUUUUACAUCUAGCUGACAUAUUUUCCAACCUUUUUGAGUAGUCAAAGCUAGCAGCAUCCUUAUUGUAUCCAACCUAGCUACAAGUCCAAAGGUCUUUGAAAAAUCCACAUCGAACAUUUGAGCAUAACCUUUGACAACCAGCCUGGCUUUAUGUUUGUUUACAUAACCAUCAAAAUUGAGUUUGGUCCUAUAAACCCACUUGACACCAAUGGCCUUUUUAUGUGUUGGUCUGUCAACUAGCUCUCAAGUGUUUUUUUAUCUCUAUCAUGUUGAGUUCCUCCUGCAUUGCAACUCUCCAUUUUUGAUCCUCGGCAGCUUUAGUAAACCCUGCAGGCUUAAACACAACCACAUUACACCUUUGAUAAAUAUCAGAAAGUGAUCUGGUGCCUUUUAUAGGAAUGUCAUUAAUAUUUUCAUCAAGGAACUCGAGAUUCUGAUUUUUUUAGCAUCCUAGCUCCAUUUAUCAUCCUCCGUGAAUUUGACAUCUCUGCUGACAAUGACUUUGUCACCAUGAGGCAUAUAGACUCUAUAAGUCUUUGAUUGGCUGCUGUAUCCUACGAAGAUCCCAGCUUUAAUAGCCAACCAGUUAUUAGUAAUGAUGAAUGAAAAAACCUAGCAAAGAGUGAAGACCCAUAUUGUACAACGAUUUAUAUUAGCACGUUGUAGGUAUGACCAUAUGGGUUAGUGAUACCUCAUCCUUGCUCAGCAUCUGUUUGUUUGUUUGUCUAUCUCUUUGCUUUCUCACAUGUGUGCACACAUACAUAUAUGUGGUGAGUUGGGAUGACUUUAUUGGAUUGGAGCUUGGUGAAAAAUUGGUGAGAUCCGUAAGACAUUGAGCCCCAAAUUUUAGACUUGGUGAAUUGUGAGAGUCUGAAAAUUUUGAUCAACAUCUUGGCGCAAUAAUCCUUUUGUUUAUUUGGAUGAGUUUUGGUCUGAAUGAUAGAUGAUUUCGGUUUUGGGAGUUUGGUGAAAGAUUAAAAAAUAAUUUGAAUAAUGAAACAGGCAGAAUAUGUUGUAGCCUCGAAAGAAUUCUAAUGGAGGUAGAAGGUUGGGAUUUGGAGGAAAAUUUAAAUGACCUCAUUAAGCACUAGUAUGUGACCUGUUUGCUAAUCCCUAUUUUCAAAAGUAUAAAGUAAUGCUAUGAAUGUAGAAGUUGAAGAUACUGAAUUAGCGGAUCAAGCUGUUUUACGGUCUUUUUUGUACAUGUUUUCAGAUUGGGUUAGGAUGUAUGUAGAUUGUUCAUCAUGGUCCAUUUUCGAUUUCAAUGAUUGGUUGGGAUGUAAGUAAGGGGGUGAUUUUUUGCUAUUCCUUUUCUUUUUGGCCUUGUUGCCUUGUAUACAUCAUGUAUACUUUCAGGGGAAAAAAAUGAUGAUAUUUCAUUGUUUGAUGUCGAAAAUAUGAAAUUGUACUGAAGUUGAUAUGGUUGGUGCAGAAUGACAUUCGCAAGAACCCUGCUUUCAGAUCACAGUUCCAUGAGAUGUGCGCUAAAGUAGGAGUAGACCCCUUGGCAUUGAAUAAAGGAUUUUGGGUAGAGCUAUUAGGAAUUGGUGACUUCUAUUAUGAACUUGGUUGGUUUCAAUCUACUUGAUGGUGCACCUCUUGAAAUUUAUUUAAAAAGAAGUCUCUGACCUCUGAUCUGCCAUUUCUUUAAAAUAUAUGUUAUUUUGUUGAUUAUUCUGAGACUAGUUUGAAUGCAUGUGUUACUUUUUCAUGCUAUAAUUAAUGCAUGUUGUCAGUGUGCGUAUUCUAAACAACAUUUUUUUCUUGAUAGGAAACCACGCGUGAAUAUAUUGAUAGAAAAAGAAGUACAAAAGGAGGAUGAGGAAUCCUCCCGCCAAAAGUAAAACUAAACAACAUGAAAAAAUAACAAUACACUAGGCCGUCCCAUUGGAACUAUUGGAUCUACACACUGCUAGCCAAUCAAGUUGUAAUACGUUAAGGGGGAUGCCCUUAAAACCCGCUGAACAAAAAGCCCAAAAGGAUGCAAGGAAAUGAAUGGAAUCCCAAAGAUUCUCUGAAUUCCUAGUUUUGUCCUCAAAUAUCCUAACAUUUCUUUCCUGCCACACAACCCAGAUUAACGCUAUACUCGCGUUUUGCCACAGAAUUACCCCUCUCUUGGACUUGCCAAAUCCUUUAUAAUUGAUGAACAUCAUGUCUGAAAUGCUUUUCGGAGGUACCCAAUCCAUCUUGGCUAGCUGAAAAAGUCUGUGCCACAACCCCAACGUCACUGAACAAUGGAGAAAGAGAUGAUCUGCUGAUUCUCCUUGCUCCAUACACAACUUACAUAUGUCAAGGUUAAUAGCUUUGUGGGGUCUCCUCAAUUGUCGCAAGUCAUUGGUAUUUACCUUUUUGUGUGUCACAAGCCAGACAAAGGCCUUAACUUUGAAAAGGACUUGAGAUUUCCAUACAAACUUAGUGGGGAAAAAUGGAGAUGAAUUAGGCAUUUGGGACAAGGCUGUAAAGAAAGACUUAACUGUAAACAAUCCUGAAGACAAUAAGGACCAUGAUCUCGCGUCUGAAGCGGAAGUGGAUAAGUUCAUACAAUCUAGAGAGUGCAUGAGGCGUUCUAGAUCUUCUAUCUCAGAAUCGGUUAGAUUACGACAGAAAUUAAAGUUCCAUGAGAAAGGGCGAGACGAACCGAGAAUUGAAGAUAUAUGAAUAUUUUUAUCCAUUACUACUCGAUAUAGUCUUGGAUGUUGGUCUUUAAAGAUUUGGUCCCCCCACCACAAAUCUUCCCAAAAGCGAAUUUUUUCCCCAUCUCCUAUGAUAAACCGAGUAUACUUGGAAAAAUCCUAAAAGACUUGUGCAAUGGCCUUCCAAGGACAGCGGUGUGACCAUCUAACUACAGUAUUGGCAUCCCAACCAUUUGAGUGUGUCCCGUAUAUGCUAAGAAUGACCUGAUGCCAUAGAGUUGUACUUUCCCUAGGAAACCUCCACAACCAUUUCCCUAAAAGAGCGUGAUUCCUUAAAGGUAUCUUCCCAAUCCCUAAACCCCCUUUAACCCUCGGCUUGCACACUGCAUCCCACCUAACAAGAUGAUCUCUUUUGCCUUCCUCAACCCCUGACCAAAGAAAGUCCCUUUGCAUUCUCUCAACUUUUGCAACCACUGAAGUUGGAAUCUUAAACAGAGAAAGGAAGUAGCUAGGGAUAUGGGAAAGGUAAGAGUGUAGGAGAGUUAGCCUACCACCUAAAGAUAAGUAAGCCUUUUGCCAUCCGUCUAAUCUCCUAGAGAUUCUCUCAAUCAUUGGAUCCCAGAAUCCACAAGUAGUUGGAUUCCCUCCCAAAGGAGGAUCCAGAUAAAGUAUGGGUCAAUCUGAAGCCUUGCAGUCAAGCAUCAAGGCUAACCUAGAGAGAUGAUUCUGAUCAAGGUUGAUGCCAAAAAGAUUACUCUUGUCAAGAUUGACCUUAAGCCCAGAGAUUUGACCAAACACUAACAAUAAACUCUUAAGAGUUUGCAAUUCUUCCUGGGGGAAGAUCCGAAUAGACGCAUUUGGAUGGAUAAGGUUCCAAAAAAAGUGUCUUUUUUUGCUUGGGAAGCUUCGUGGGGGAAGAUCCUCACCUUGGAUAAGCUUCAAAGAAGGGGGUGGCAGCUCCCUAAUCGGUGUUUUUUGUGCAGCUGCGAAGAAGAAAAUGCGAAUCAUAUUCUUUUACAUUGUACAGUGGUUAAGACUAUUUGGGAGAUUACCCUUGUCAUCUUCAGAGUUCAAUGGGUGUUCCCAAAGUCAGUUAUAGAGGUGUUACUUAGCUGGAGGGGUUCUUUUGUGGGAAAAAAAGAAAAAAGAUAUGGAAUUCCAUCCCGUUGUGCAUAUUUUGGACGGUUUGGAAGGAAAGGAAUAGGUUAGCUUUCAGAGGAGGGUUGUUAGAUAUUCAGAAAUUCAAAAAUUUUUUUGUUUGUAACUUGUGGAGUUGGGCUAGGGUGUACAUUGGUGAGGAAACCUACUCUCUUUUAGGCUUUUUGGAGUGGCUUGCGACCACUUGAGGGUGGGUGAGGUUUAUCCCCUUUUUUCUUUCAGCUCUGUUUUUUGGGCUUUUCUGUAUACCCCUAUAUACGUGCGGCUUCUUAGCCUUUUCUAAUAUAUUUGGUUGUUUAUCUAUCAAAAAAAAGAGUUUGCAAUUCUUCCUUUCUAGGGUUAGCAAGAGGAUGGUAUCGUCCCAUCUGUUUCUACCUAUCUUGAAGCCUUCCAGCAAAUUUCUUGCCUCAACUUUCAACAACAUUCUACUCAACACAUCUGCAACAAUAGUGAACAGGAAAGGAGAUAAAGGGUCACCUUGUCUUAAACCUCUAGAUGCCUUGACCCACCCUUUAGCAUUACCGUUCACUAGAAUAACAUAAGAGACUGACGACAGACAACCUCUCAUCCAACUCCUCCAUUUAGAACUAAAUCCCUUCUUCUCCAACACGUGAUCCAAAAAAUCCCAUUUCACAUGGUCAUAAGCCUUUUCAAAGUCUAUCUUGAAUACAACUCCCUCCUUCCCUGAUCGCCUUUUCUCGUCCACAAUCUCAUUGGCUAUAAGAACUGCAUCCAGAAUUUGUCUCCCUUGAACAAAAGUACCUUGAGUGGAGUGGAUGGUCUCGUGUAGUACUCCUCUUAGUCGCCCUGACAAGACUUUUGCUAUUACCUUAUAUAGACAAGUGAUCAGACUAAUAGGUCUAAAAUCCGAAAUCUUCUUUGACUGACUCUUUUUGGGCAAAAGGACUAUGAAGGAAGUAUUGGUGUUUUGAUUAAUAAUCCCGCUAUUGUGAAACUCUGCAAACACCCUCACUAAGUCUUCCUUGAUCACAUCCCAACAAUCCUGAAACACUGCUAUGGUGAAACCGUCAGGCUCCGACGCCUUAUCCCUAUCUAACUGAAAGAUGACAUUAAAGAUCUCUACUUCAGCGAAAGGGGAAUCCAGCCUUGAAGCACUCUCUUCUGAUAUAGGGGACCAAUCAAUACCUUCUACUCUCCAUGACUCACCAGGAGGACUCGAGUAGAGCUUUUUGAAAUAAAGUAAUAUCUCUUCUGUGAUGCUCUCGGAAUUAUCCAACACCAAACCUCUUUCAUUUUCCAAGAAUUUGAUGAAAUUCCUGUUUCGUCUCCCAUUAGUCAUUUUGUGAAACAACUUUGAGUUACAAUCCCCGUCCUUAACCCAUUUUACCUUAGCUUUUUGUCUCCAAUGAAUUUUUUCUCUCAAAAUUAGUUCCUCUAGCUCCCCUUUUCUUACAACUCUUUGAGCUGCAAGAUCAGAAGAGAGAGCCCCUUCUUGUUCAAUGGCAUCAAUGUAAGCUAUUUCAUCCAAUAUGGUUUUUUUCCUUUCCUUAAGCAUUUCAAAAGUAUUCUUAUUCCAAUAUUUCAAUUUUGCCUUAACGAAUUGUAACUUCCUAGUGAACUUGUGACCUUUCUAACCAUUUCCUUCAAAUUCUCUCCACCAACUGCUAAAGCACUCUUUGAAACUAUGAUGUUGCAACCACAUAUUCUCGAACCUAAAAGGUGUUGGGCCCCACUUGAACGGAUUGGUAUCCAAGACAAUCGACCAAUGAUCCGAUGUCCAUCUAGGAAGAACUUCUUGAAGGCUUUGAGGGAAGGAAAGCUCCCACUCAUUUGAAUAGAAAAACCGAUCCAAUCUCUUACACACCGGUGACUCUUGCAUGUUUGACCAAGUAAAAGAGGCAUUCCGUAAUGGGGGAUCAUGUAAUUCGCAUUCUCUUAUAAAACCAUCAAAAUCCCUCAUGCUGGAAGUGAAUCCAGAUCCCUCCAGUUUUUCUGAUCUUCUCCUUAUAACAUUGAAGUCACCUCCCACACACCAUGAAGGAUAAGUAAGGCAAAAAAGGUCUAAUAACUCCACCCAAAAAUCCUUCCUAAUUGAGGGAUUGUUUGGCCCAUAGACUGCGGACAACCACAAUGGUCCGCUUCCAUCCAACAAGAACUUGACUGAGACGGAAAAGGAUCCUAUUACCACCUCCUCACCGCUCAUUUUUUUUGAGUUCCAAAUGAUCAAAAUCCCUCCUGAAGCCCCGCACGUCGGGAGAAUAACCCACUCCUUAUUCCUAACCGACCAGACACUAUUUACAAACUUUCUGUCGCACACCUUUCUUUUUGUUUCCUGAAACAUCACUACAUUCGGAUUCUGAAGUCGCAAAAAUUCCUUAACCACCCUCCUCUUUUUCCUAGAUCCCAGCCCCCUUAUAUUCCAGCUUAUGAUCCUCAUAAUAACACCUCACUGUCCCUAAAUCUCCAAACCAUCACCACCAAAGCUCAAUUGCCUAUGGCAAUUCUGUUCUUUCGUCUUGAAUACACCUUAAUAUCCAAGGAGCUUAAGACCUCACAAACUUUAGCCAUUUUGCUGGGGGAAAGACCUUCUAUUUGGAACCCCCCUCAUCUGGGAGAAUUCUGAGUCUCCCUGGCUUACUGCACCCAGAAUAGGGGCCCCAUGAGGCGAGUUGGGAUUGGUCCUAUCAUACUUAAAGCUCUCAGACAUCAGAUUCAAUCUAGCCAGCUGGGACACCGCUUCAACAUGAUUAGGAUUGCCAACAUACCCAAGACGAUAAUCCCCAACGACAUUUUUUUUUGAACAACUUUCAGUUAACACUCGGUCUUUCAUAGGAAACUGGGAAUGAAAGGCUGAAAUGGAGAGAUCGGGAACAGAAGGACUUUGGUAUGGAGGAGCCACACCAGAGAAGGGAGACCGUAAAGGCAGAGAAGGCUGAGAAGAAUGGUGAGAAGAUACCUGGAAAAUUCCCACUUCCGUCAUUCCACAGUACCCCUCAAAGAUAAGCCCUUUUUCUUUGUUUGCGGGAUAAGAAGGAUGAUCUGAGACUGAAGAUCCACUAUGAGAAUAACCCGCAAAGCCCUUAACACCUGCUCUGUCUUCUCCUAUAGCAUUAUUGCGCAUUUUCUCCUUCUCUUUUGACAUAAAAGGAGCCCUAAGAAUAUUCCUUUGUUCCUCGAUUUCCUCUGUCGGCGUCGUUCCUUCCUCGAAACACCCUUGAACCAACUGUGAUCCCGCCUCGGAGGCUUCUUCCAAUGGAAGAGUAUCGCUACCUGUCGGCGAUCUCUCAGUCGUGAGUGGCUCUCCUCGGCUUCGAUCCCCUUGUCGGCAUGCAGAGCUUGAUGGAAGUAGAACAUUCCACAGCUUCUUUGAACCACACUUCACCGUGAAGCCCCUCCGUUGAUUUUCAGAUUCCUCGUAGCCUACCUUCGCCUUCCCCUUUGCAGAGUGAGUAGCUCUGUGUGACGGGCCCUUUGACAAUCUGUCUUGCUUGCCUCCCAUCUCUUGGCCCAGCGACUGAAUCGGGCCUAUUCUAAACAACAUGCAUGUUGUCAGUAUGAUUCUUGCACAGUGCAGUUCAAAUGAAAUUUUGUAUUGGGGAGAAGUGAGCAGAAAUGUUCUCCAGGAGAUGUUGCAAGGGCACAAUUGACCCAAAUUCUGAUCUUAGAUUAGAAUUUGGAACAUAAAUUAUGAAUCAAUUUGUUGCGUAGGUUAAGAUUCCUCUGUGCAUUUAUCUUCUCUAUUUUCUAUUAUUAAUGAAUCUUUAUUGCAUAUUGAAACUGGGUGAUAGCUUUUUGUAGCCCCUGAUAUGAAUGGAUAAAAUGUGUGGGUACAUACAUGCAAAUAUGCAUACCUACACACUCACAGACUCCACAUCAUAUAUUUGGAUAAAUACUUACCUUAUCUUUUUGAUAAGUACCUAUAAAAAAAAAAAUAUAUUUGGAUAAGUACUUUACUUUGCAUACCACCUCAGCCCCUGCCCCAAGGAAAAAGAAAAAAAAAAGGCAAAACUUUAAGCUACUUCAAUUACCUUAAUGAAACACCAUCGCCUGUGUGUGCUGCAACCUCUAAAGAACUGCUGAUUCAGUAUUCAUGCUUCCUGCAGUUUCAAAUAAUAAUGUCCUUUUUAGUGGUUUGUUUGAGAUAAAACUUUCUUAUUUAUAUUGAAUUGAAGAUAUCCAUAAAAAAAUGGAUAUUGAAUUAAAGAUUCUUAGGGAAUAUUGAUUCUAUUUUCUGUAAAUAUUUAUCAACCCAAUUUCAGAGAUGAAACUUACUUUUGUUUGUGAGUAUACUUGGCUAGACAG